rnacentral:rRNA from 1 species
CCUACGGGGGGCUGCAGUGGGGAAUCUUGCGCAAUGGGCGAAAGCCUGACGCAGCGACGCCGCGUGUGGGAUGACGGCCUUCGGGUUGUAAACCACUGUCGGGAGGGACGAAGAUCUGACGGUACCUCCAAAGGAAGCACCGGCUAACUCUGUGCCAGCAGCCGCGGUAAUACAGAGGGUGCGAGCGUUGUCCGGAAUCACUGGGCGUAAAGGGCGCGUAGGCGGCUGGGUAAGUAGGGGGUGAAAUCUCGCAGCGCAACUGCGAGGCUGCCUUCUAGACUGCCUGGCUUGAGCGCGGUAGAGGCUGGUGGAAUUCCCGGUGUAGCGGUGGAAUGCGUAGAGAUCGGGAGGAACAUCGGUGGCGAAGGCGGCCAGCUGGGCCGUUGCUGACGCUGAUGCGCGAAAGCGUGGGGAGCAAACAGGAUUAGAUACCCUGGUAGUC